UACGUAGGGUGCAAGCGUUGUCCGGAAUUAUUGGGCGUAAAGAGCUCGUAGGCGGUCUGUUGCGUCGGCUGUGAAAACCCGGGGCUCAACCCCGGGCCUGCAGCCGAUACGGGCAGACUAGAGUUCGGCAGGGGAGACUGGAAUUCCUGGUGUAGCGGUGAAAUGCGCAGAUAUCAGGAGGAACACCGGUGGCGAAGGCGGGUCUCUGGGCCGAUACUGACGCUGAGGAGCGAAAGCGUGGGGGGCGAACAGG
rnacentral:rRNA from 1 species